UUCUUUAGUGGUGGAAUGGUAGACGCUGCGGACUCAAAAUCCGUUGGAGCAAUCCGUGCAGGUUCAAGUCCUGUCUAAGGCGACCA
rnacentral:tRNA from 1 species